rfam:Lupinus angustifolius cultivar Tanjil chromosome LG04, whole genome shotgun sequence.
AUACCAUGAUGAGGGCAAGCUUCUGUAACUCAUUUAAUCUUUCCCAUGCUUCAGCAAUUGACUCCCCAUCCUUUUGACUGAAGUUCUAGAUGAGGUGCCUAUAGUGC